rnacentral:rRNA from 1 species
UACGAAGGGGGCUAGCGUUGCUCGGAAUCACUGGGCGUAAAGGGUGCGUAGGCGGGUCUUUUAAGUCAGGGGUGAAAUCCUGGAGCUCAACUCCAGAACUGCCUUUGAUACUGAGAAGCUUGAGUCCGGGAGAGGUGAGUGGAACUGCGAGUGUAGAGGUGAAAUUCGUAGAUAUUCGCAAGAACACCAGUGGCGAAGGCGGCUCACUGGCCCGGUACUGACGCUGAGGUGCGAAAGCGUGGGGAGCAAACAGG